ACAAGCAAAGUAGUGCAGUGAGUUGCUUACAACUGGGUAGCAUGACAGGCAGGCUUCUUUUUGGUCACAAUGAAGAUGUUCUAAGAUUCAGUGAUGAUGAUGUAGACAUCACUUCAGGGAAUUGCAAUCCUUUGUUAUACUACGAAAAUCAAUCAAACAAAUGAGCACUAACUACUGAACAGCACAGCUGAAGAUGGAGGGAUUUCCACAGUGGAGGAGUCAGCAUGAAGGAGGAUUUAAGGUAUUACCUUGAAGCUGACAUACUGUAGAUGAUUUGAAUGCCUUUUAAUAAUCUGUUUGAUCAG